rnacentral:rRNA from 1 species
GACAGAGGGGGCAAGCGUUGCUCGGAAUCACUGGGCGUAAAGGGCGCGUAGGCGGGAUGGCAAGUCGGUCGUGAAAUCCUUCGGCUCAACCGAAGAACGUCGGCCGAUACUGCCGUUCUUGAGGGAUGCAGAGGAGAUUGGAAUUCCCGGUGUAGCGGUGAAAUGUGUAGAGAUCGGGAGGAACACCGGUGGCGAAGGCGGCGACCUGGUCCUUGACUGACGCUGAGGCGCGAAAGCGUGGGGAGCAAACAGG